rnacentral:rRNA from 1 species
GAUGAACGCUGGCGGCGUGCCUAAUACAUGCAAGUCGAGCGAACGGACGAGAAGCUUGCUUCUCUGAUGUUAGCGGCGGACGGGUGAGUAACACGUGGAUAACCUACCUAUAAGACUGGGAUAACUUCGGGAAACCGGAGCUAAUACCGGAUAAUAUUUUGAACCGCAUGGUUCAAAAGUGAAAGACGGUCUUGCUGUCACUUAUAGAUGGAUCCGCGCUGCAUUAGCUAGUUGGUAAGGUAACGGCUUACCAAGGCAACGAUGCAUAGCCGACCUGAGAGGGUGAUCGGCCACACUGGAACUGAGACACGGUCCAGACUCCUACGGGAGGCAGCAGUAGGGAAUCUUCCGCAAUGGGCGAAAGCCUGACGGAGCAACGCCGCGUGAGUGAUGAAGGUCUUCGGAUCGUAAAACUCUGUUAUUAGGGAAGAACAUAUGUGUAAGUAACUGUGCACAUCUUGACGGUACCUAAUCAGAAAGCCACGGCUAACUACGUGCCAGCAGCCGCGGUAAUACGUAGGUGGCAAGCGUUAUCCGGAAUUAUUGGGCGUAAAGCGCGCGUAGGCGGUUUUUUAAGUCUGAUGUGAAAGCCCACGGCUCAACCGUGGAGGGUCAUUGGAAACUGGAAAACUUGAGUGCAGAAGAGGAAAGUGGAAUUCCAUGUGUAGCGGUGAAAUGCGCAGAGAUAUGGAGGAACACCAGUGGCGAAGGCGACUUUCUGGUCUGUAACUGACGCUGAUGUGCGAAAGCGUGGGGAUCAAACAGGAUUAGAUACCCUGGUAGUCCACGCCGUAAACGAUGAGUGCUAAGUGUUAGGGGGUUUCCGCCCCUUAGUGCUGCAGCUAACGCAUUAAGCACUCCGCCUGGGGAGUACGACCGCAAGGUUGAAACUCAAAGGAAUUGACGGGGACCCGCACAAGCGGUGGAGCAUGUGGUUUAAUUCGAAGCAACGCGAAGAACCUUACCAAAUCUUGACAUCCUUUGACAACUCUAGAGAUAGAGCCUUCCCCUUCGGGGGACAAAGUGACAGGUGGUGCAUGGUUGUCGUCAGCUCGUGUCGUGAGAUGUUGGGUUAAGUCCCGCAACGAGCGCAACCCUUAAGCUUAGUUGCCAUCAUUAAGUUGGGCACUCUAAGUUGACUGCCGGUGACAAACCGGAGGAAGGUGGGGAUGACGUCAAAUCAUCAUGCCCCUUAUGAUUUGGGCUACACACGUGCUACAAUGGACAAUACAAAGGGCAGCGAAACCGCGAGGUCAAGCAAAUCCCAUAAAGUUGUUCUCAGUUCGGAAUGUAGUCUGNCACUCGACUACAUGAAGCUGGAAUCGCUAGNUAUCGUAGAUCAGCAUGCUACGGUGAAUACGUUCCCGGGUCU